AACUCUCGGAAAUGGAUAUCUCGGCUCUCGCAUCGAUGAAGAACGUAGUGAAAUGCGAUACCUAGUAUGAAUUGCAGAAUCCCAUGAACCAUCGAGUCGUUGAAUGCAAGUUGCGCCCGAAGCCAUUAGGCCGAGGGUACGUCUGCCUGGGCGUCA
rfam:Capsicum annuum cultivar Zunla-1 unplaced genomic scaffold scaffold4253, whole genome shotgun sequence